rnacentral:lncRNA from 1 species
GCCCCCACCACCUUAAACCCUGCCCAUCAGCUAUAGGCUCCGCCCCCUACUCCGCCAUCCAGGCCGUGUCGCACCCCACUCUAGAGCCUAACCUCAACCUCUGGGGAAGAAAACUAGAAUUUCUCCUCCGUGCGUGGAUGAAAUAGGGGUCAGUUCUCCCGCCGCGGCCUAAGCCAUCUCAGUGGUUCGGAGACCGGAGGUCCAAGCACUUCCGCUUCCGGUGGCCCAAGACCGGAAGCGGAAGUACGUGUGCGGCUGUGGCUGGCGGACGCGCAACUGCGUGGGUCGCUGCGGUGGGAGUGUUGUCGGCCGGUGUGCAGGUGGAACACCUCCUGAGACCUCGAACCCUGGCACCACUGUCAUGACUGGGGAUCUCAGCUCAAACCCAAGGAGCUGGCCUUGAUGUGGGAUGUUUUGGAGGACGCGGGAUCCAGUAACGUGCGGAUGAGACUGACAGCGGCUGUGCAGAGUCAGAGGGUGGAGACACCAUUGCCCACGCUGGGUCUCCCCAUCCCAGGGGUGUCCAGGGCUUCUGGGUCUCCAGACAGCCUGGUGGUCCGGGAGACUGAAAGGAGCCCUGGGAGGGGCUUCAUAAAGGAAGGACUGAUGACCGCAUGUCAGCUGGAUUCUUCACUAUGGAUUAUGGGUGAAGGCCAUUGGUGAUCCUGGCUCAGAAUUCAUCCCUGGAAUGGUGGGGUGGGCUCAGAGGUGUCAUGGCCCACUGUAGUGAAUAGACACUGGACAACAGCCAUAGGGAAAAGUGUCUCCCCCUAAAACGUAGUCCUAACUACUUGUACCUGUGCAUGUGGCCUUAUUUGGAAAUGGGGUCUUUGCAGAUGAGGUCCCAUUAAGAAGAGGUCAUGAUGGUGGCCCUAAUGCAGUGGGACUGUGUCUUUCUAAGAAAGAUAAAUUCCACAAGGAGCCUCAGAGACAAGGCUGUGUGGAGGCAGAGGUUGGAGGGUGCAGCCACAUAAAAGCUACGGAGCACAGGGGUCCUUGGGUGCCACCUGAAGCCAGGAAGAGGCAAGAGAGGGUGCUACUCAGAGUCUCAGAAGGAGAGUGACCCUGUUGCCACCUUGAUUUUGGUCAUCAAAUCUUUAGAAGUGUGGGAGAACUUCCUGUGGUUUUAAGGUACUCACUUUGUGGUACUUUGGUAUGGCAGCCCCAGGAAACCUACAGAUGGGGUCAGGUUUACA